CAUUGUACAAGGUAUUCCAUUUUGUGGUUUCCAUUCAAAGGAAUAUCCUGUAUAAUGGA
ensembl:miRNA mdo-mir-7387 mdo-mir-7387